AUACGUAGGGAGCGAGCGUUGUCCGGAAUUACUGGGUGUAAAGGGAGCGUAGGCGGGAGUGCAAGUCAGAUGCGAAAUACAUGGGCUCAACCCAUGGGCUGCAUUUGAAACUGCAUUUCUUGAGUGAAGUAGAGGUAAGCGGAAUUCCUGGUGUAGCGGUGAGAUGCGUAGAUAUCAGGAGGACCACCGGUGGCGAAGGCGGCUUACUGGGCUUUUACGGACGCUGAGGCUCGAAAGCGUGGGGAGCAAACAGGAUUAGAUACCCUGGUAGUCCACGCUGUAAACGAUGAUUACUAGGUGUGGGGGGACUGACCCCUUCCGUGCCGCAGUUAACACAAUAAGUAAUCCACCUGGGGAGUACGGCCGCAAGGUUGAAACUCAAAUGAAUGGACGGGG
rnacentral:rRNA from 1 species